UACGGAGGGUGCGAGCGUGUCCGGAAUUAUUGGGCGUAAAGAGCGUGUAGGCGGCCAGAUAAGUCCGCUGUGAAAUCUCGAGGCUCAACUUCGAGCUGUCGGUGGAAACUAUCUGGCUAGAGUCCGGAAGAGGAGAAUGGAAUUCCUGGUGUAGCGGUGAAAUGCGCAGAUAUCAGGAAGAACACCCGUGGCGAAGGCGGUUCUCUGGGACGGUACUGACGCUGAGACGCGAAAGCGUGGGGAGCGAACAGG
rnacentral:rRNA from 1 species